rnacentral:rRNA from 1 species
GUAUAUCAGGUUGAAUGCAUCAGUUUCCAGCCGACCACUGAAGUUAAGCAACACUGAGCAUGGAUGGUACUUGGAUGGGUGAUUAAUUGAUUAUAUACCUGAAAAAAUUACC